AUAUCAAUAAGCGGAGGAAAAGAAACUAACAAGGAUUCCCCUAGUAACUGCGAGUGAAGCGGGAAAAGCUCAAAUUUAAAAUCUGGCAGUCUUUGGCUGUCCGAGUUGUAAUCUAGAGAAGUAUUAUCCGCGCUGGACCGUGUACAAGUCUCCUGGAAUGGAGCGUCAUAGAGGGUGAGAAUCCCGUCUUUGACACGGACUGCCAGGGCUUUGUGAUAUGCUCUCAAAGAGUCGAGUUGUUUGGGAAUGCAGCUCAAAAUGGGUGGUAAAUUCCAUCUAAAGCUAAAUAUUGGCGAGAGACCGAUAGCGAACAAGUACCGUGAGGGAAAGAUGAAAAGAACUUUGGAAAGAGAGUUAAACAGUAC
rnacentral:rRNA from 1 species